rnacentral:lncRNA from 1 species
ACUUAAAUACCAUUUGAAAAUAAUCAAUUAACUCUUAAUUUACAAACUUAAACUUCUAGAAUAUAAUGUUUAAUAUAUUAUAUUCAACAUUUGCCAAUAUGAUAGAAAUUAAGAGUCAAUUCGGUCAUACCAUUGUUGGCGCUAGCCAUUAACCUCUAAAACUCGAGCUGUUAGAAAGAUACAAUUAAUUUACUUAACGUAUACAGAUAAAGUGCUCGCAGAUCUCGAUUGUGAUUUGGCCUGAUCAGUCUCACGCCACUUCGAACAUGACUUGACCGAACCUGACCUUCCACUAUUUUAGAUUCGGUACAACUUGACUUUCCGUCACCUCACAUGAGAAGAUGCCAACCCCUUUAAGCUAGCUAACAUAUCCAAGCACUCCAAAGACUUCAAUACUUCACCUAC